rnacentral:misc_RNA from 1 species
UGCGCCUGUGAGCCGCGCGCCUGUGUGCGCGUGACGGAGGAGUCAUGCGUCUGCAGCGACACCUGCGCCUUACGGUCUGCGCGGUGCGGUGGAGUUUCCCAGACAGCCGCGAGAUGGAGCAGCCUGCCCCUUCCUGAGCCGUUCCCGUCCCCCCACGCUGGCUUCGCGCGGUAGCUUUAUUGGCCGUGUCUCAGACGGCGCGAACAGCUGAUCGAUACUUUUGCCCAUCUCUGUCGCGGGCGGUACUUGUUCGUUGCGUACGAUAUAUGUGUUAUCUUUUUGUGUUGUGUUUCGCGGGAUGAGUUUAUACGGGGAUAUUUUUCUGUUAUUCCGCAUGUUAUUUGUUUUACGGAUGAGUAUGGCAUGCUCAUGUGUUAAUGUUUAUGUCCGCGUGUCUGCAGUACUUGCGGGUUCCCGUGACUGGCGGGCUCUAAGUCAGCCGCCAUACUCAGUCCUUUUCAUGGUGUACUCCGUCGAGAAUGGAGGCAUGGCGCCUGAGUGGACGAAAUCGUUGAAACCGCUAGAUGCAUCGUUGUUUACCGUGCCUACCUGCGCUAGUGCCAGUUUGAGUUGCCACGCUGCUUCAUAUGCUGCACCUACGCAUCAGUAUUCGCUAGUCGACCGCAUCGUGACGAAUACAAGCAACGCUCUGGCUACGGUGUUCUGCGCGUAACAACGCUCGUCAAUCUACGGCUCAGGCGACAAUAGUUUCAACGAUCGUCUUCAUCAUCGUCUUCCGGGGGCAUCAGCAUGUCUGCUUGCUGAUUCCGUCGCUACCGGCCGACGCAUGACCGCUGCAGACGCGAUUGCCUGCCGCCGUGGGGACUGGAUCCAGGAUGGAGGUUCCAGCAGCCUAAUGUCCCUGCGGUGGCGGAGGUUCGCGUCUGCUGGCUGGCACCUACUGGGUGGACGCCACUGCUACUGAUGGUGGGUGCUGCUGCUCCUGAUGGCAGGGAAAGAGGUCUGACCAGUGAUCUUUUCUGUUUGUUAAGACUUUUGAGGCAUGCAUGGAACAGGUGCAAUGAUGUGGUGUGUCUGAACCAUAUGAGGCUGACAUUCGUGUAGGUAUUCUCGGUGCUAGUUUGACAUGUGUUUAGCUUAAGGUUGAAGUGUUCAUUCAUAACUUAUCGUGCCAGCAACCCUAUCCUUCUGACCUGCCCAGCCUGACCCACAUGACCCCCUCACUUGACGUUGACCUCGCUUGACCUUGCUUGACCGUGUGUGUCAACGAUAACCAUGGACCUUGACAAGUUGACAAAGGAGGAGCUGGUCGGGGAGUUGACUAGGCGUGGAGAAGAUGUGCGGGGAAGAAAGCCAGUCUUGUUGGAGAGGUUGAGAGAGCUCUUGAAGGAAGAAGAGUUCCAGAGUCAGGGAGCUAGGAAGCAGGCCAAGGAAGAGACCGAUAAGCUGCAUGAAGAGUGUGAGCCGAAGAAAGCCGAUGAUGGGAAGAGUGUGAAGUCGGGAUCAUCAAGAUCUGGAGGUGGAAGUGCGGCAAGUUCCAAGCCUGCCUCCAGUGUCCGAACAUCGGUCAGCAUCGUCUCUGCCAGGGCUUUGGAGAGAGCGAGGCUGGCUGGGCUGUCUGCCAAGAAGGAAGCCCUGAAGAAGAGGCACCAGCUUGAAGAAGAAGAAGCUGCAUUGAGAAAGAAGAGAGAAGAGCUGGAGAUCCAGGCGGAGAUAGACGAGAGUGAAGCCAAGGAGAAGGUCCUGGAGGAGAUGCUGAAGGUGGAGCAUGCGACAAGAGCUGCAAGUAUGUGGUUGCAAGGGGCUGCUGCCGCCGACACAGUCCAGCCACAGGAAGCUGCGGUGACAAGAGCUCUGCAAGAUGCCGCAGCUCAGCAAGAUGCUACAUCUCCAGCGGCAUCUCCACAGGAAGUGACACCAGAAUCCGUUCUGCAAGACGAGCCAACACAGCAGCAAGUAGCUGGCGGGGCUCCGGCUCAACACAGCACUGACCUGCAGAUGGUAAGGCGUCUCCACCUGCCAUCACUUGACCUGACCACUUUCAGGGGUGACACUUCGAAGUUCAAGCCCUUCCUCAGGACCUUCGAGUCCAACAUAGCAAGAAAUGUGGACUGUGAUGCUGAGAGGCUCCUGUACCUGCUUAAGUUCACCAAGGGAAAGCCACACGACCUCGUUCAGACCUGCGUUCAUCUGCCUGAAGAGCAGGGCUAUGCCCAAGCUGUCAUGUUGCUCCGCCGCAGGUACGACUGUCAGGCUCAGACCGUAGCUAGUCUGGUGGACGAGAUGCUAGCCCUACCCACCCUUAGAGCGGAUGAUGGAGACGGACUGGAUGACUUUGGCAUCUUCCUCAGGGGCUGCAUGAACGCGCUCGAGAACCUGCCACACGGUGUGGGGUCUGUUGACUCGAAGACCAUCCGGAGACUGCUGGAGAAGCUCCCGUAUCACCUGACUGAGAGGUGGCGCCGGAAAGCUGAUGCCAUCGAACAGGAAGGGAGACGUCCAGCGAACUUCAGUGAUCUUGUCCAAUUCAUCGAGACUGAAGCAAGGAUUGCAACGAACCCCUCGUACGGACGACAUGUGCUGUGCCCAGGAACAAGAACCAAGAAAGAUGACACAAAGCUGAAGGUGCAGCCCUCAGGAAGGGUAAUCGCUGGAAGAACUCUAGCAGGAAGUGUCCAGCCCAUGGAGAAUGCACACCCAUCAUGUCUCUUUUGCCAGGGAAAACACCAGAUCGAAAACUGCAAGAAGUUCGAGUCCAGGACGCACGAGGAGAGGAGCAAGUUCGUGAAAGAGAAGGGCCUCUGCUUCGCCUGUCUUCAGCAUGGCCACCGCUCCAGGUUCUGUAAGGAAAGGAGGACCUGUGAGCGGUGCAACAGAAGCCACCCAACUGUGCUCCAUGAAGAUAGGAUAAGUCCAACACCAAGUGCUACAACAGGCCAUCUGGCGCCCAGCGGGGCGGGAGGGGCCAAGCUCCAGGUGCUGAAGGUGAUGGUGGGGCUAGACAAGGAGACUGUGGUAACUAACGCCUUUCUGGACAGCGGUAGCACACACUCGUUCAUCUCAAAGCACCUGUUGCAGAAGAUGAAGGUGACGCCGCAAAACAACUCAUCACUGAGGGUGUGCACGAUCAGGGGAGAGGCGGUGAUGGACAGCUGUCUCGUUCCUGGUCUGGUCAUCAGAAGCCUCGAUGGGGACAACUGCAUGGAGCUGCCGCCUCUGUAUGUCCUGGACCACAUCCCUGUGACGUCUGAAGACAUUCCAUCCGAAGAAGAUGUGAGUAAAUGGAAAUACCUGCAAGAUGCUGGAGUAUUUCUGGAGACACUAUCAGGUGACCAAGAGAUUGGCCUCCUGAUAGGAGGUAACGCGGCCAGUGUGAUGGAGCCUGUGGAAGUGUGUCCGAGCCGAGAUGAUGGUCCCUAUGCUGUGAGAACGAGGUAUGGUUGGGUGCUGAGUGGUGUCGGGAAGUUCACCAAGUCAGUCAGCAUCAACCGCAUCAAGAUCGUGGACGCACUGGGCCCAGAAGAGCUGUUCGAGGACCGAGCCGACACAAGAAGAGGUCUGUCGGUUGAAGAUGUAAGAUGGUGCACACAGAUGGAGACAGGCUGCAGACGAAGAGAAGGGAGAUACGAGAUCAAGCUGCCCUUCAGGGAGAGCAAGCCGCUUCUUGACAACAACCGUCAAGUUGCUCUCAAGAGGCUCAAUCUUCUGAAGAGGGCCUUUGAGAAGGACCCGAAGUACGCUGAAGAGUACAAGGCUGUGAUGGCAGACCUGCUGGAGAAGGGGUAUGCGGAAGAGGCCCCAGACAACGAUAAACCAGCAUGCAAGUGGUACAUCCCGCACUUCGGAGUUCGGCAUCCGCAGAAAGAGAAGGUUCGGGUUGUGUUUGACUGCGCGAGCAAGUUCAACGGCGUGUCUCUCAAUGACACUCUCUUGCAGGGACCUGACCUGACUAACCCACUGAUUGACGUGCUCAUCCGUUUCCGUGAACAGCCGUACGCCUUCACGGGGGACAUCGAGGCCAUGUUCAUGCAGGUGUUGGUCCCCGAACAUCAACGAGACUACCUGCGGUUCCUGUGGUGGCCACGAGGAGAUGUCACCUGCACGCCCAAGGAAUAUCGCAAUACAAGACAUCUCUUCGGUGCUACGUCUUCACCGAGCUGCGCCAACCUGGCGCUGCACAGGACAGCUGAGGAGUUCGGUCAGAAGAUGGAGGAGGCCAGAGACACCGUGAGACGGAACUUCUAUGUGGAUGACGUCCUGAAGUCUGUGGGAAGCGAAGGAGCCGCGGUCAAACUGGUCGGAGACCUCAAGGCGCUCUGCGCCGAGGGCGGCUUCAAGCUUACCAAGAUCAGCAGUAACAGUGUCGGAGUCCUGAGAUCUGUGCCCAGAGAAGAGAGGACAAAGAAAGUGAAAGAGCUCACGCCGGGGACAGACGCUCUUCCAGUGGAACGCGCCCUGGGAGUACUGUGGGACACUAACUCCGACAUGUUCAGCUUCCAGGUAGACGUCAGCAAGUUGACGAAGAAACCGAAGACGAAGAGGGGGAUGUUGUCGGCUACGGCGUCCUGCUACGACCCGCUGGGACUGGUGACUCCAUGCAUCGUGAGAGCGAGGAUCUUGCUCCAAGACCUGUUCCGGCUGAAAGUGGGCUGGGAUGAGGAAGUGCCCAAAGCUACGAGAGAAUCCUGGGAGCGAUGGCUGCGAGACCUGCCGCAGUUGUCUCACUGUUUCUUCCCCAGGUGCGUUACGGCGGGAAGACUGGACGGGACGGUGGAGCUGCACCACUUCGCGGACGCGAGCGAGAGAGCCUAUGGCGCCGUCUCCUAUCUGCGUACCGUGACGCCGGAAGGACGCGCUCACUGCGCUCUGCUCGCCAGCAAAGCUCGACUGGCCCCCGUGAAAGCGCUCACUAUCCCCCGACUCGAGUUGGCUGCUGCCAAGCUGGCGGUUGAGGCAGGACAAGAGCUGGUCCGCGCACUGGACACCCGAGUUGAACAGAACUACUGGACUGACAGUACGACAGUACUGAAGUACAUCCGCAACACCAGGACACGGUUUCAUGUAUUCGUUUCGAAUCGGCUCGCGGCUAUUCAUGACGGGUCGAGCGUCGAACAGUGGAGGUUUGUGCCCACAGGUCAGAACCCGGCGGAUCUGGUCUCCCGGGGAGUGGACGCCCAAACGCUGAUGGGCAGUAGCCUCUGGAGAGCCGGUCCUCAGUUCCUGAAGGGGCCGCCGGAGACGUGGCCGAGCGACCCAGAAGCUGGAGAAGGAGUCUCCGAGCACGAUCCGGAGGUGAAGACAUCUACAUGCCUGAGCAGCGUCGAGGGCAAUGCCGACGCCGUCAGGCCGAUGAAGAGGCUAGUCAACCACUACUCGACUUGGAGACGGCUGACCAGGGCGGUGGCAUGGAUCCGCCGUGUGUUGCGGAUGCUGAGGGACAAGAAACGUGGCGGCAUCAUGUCGUCGCCGGCCGAGCUCAGCGUACAGGAGAUUGCAGACGCUGAGAAACUCAUCAUCUUGUCGGAGCAGGAAGCGAGCUUCCCGCAGGAGAUGAAGGACCUGAGAGCGGGCAAGGAAGUACGUCUGUCGAGCCCGCUCGCCCGCCUGGAUCCCGGCCUCCAGGAUGGCGUGCUGAGAACUCGGGGUCGCCUGAGGAACUCCGCGCUGUGCCAGACUGCCAAGUGCCCAGCGAUCCUUCCGAAGAAGGGGCGCGUCAUUGAUAUGCUGAUCGAGGACUUUCAUUGCAGAGCCGGCCACGAAGGAAGACAGCACGUCAUGGCUGACAUCAGUAGGUCUUACUGGGUGCUGGGAGCUAACUCGGCCGUCAGGCGCGUGUUGAGCCGCUGCCUGAGCUGCCGCCGAAGGCAGAGACCGCCGGAGACUCAAAAGAUGGCCGACCUUCCGGAGGAUCGGGUUCGUGAAGGCGAGAAACCGUUCACCAGGACCGGUGUCGACUUUUUCGGCAACUUCUACGUCAAGAGGGGCAGGUCUCACGUCAAGAAGUAUGGCGUAAUCUUCACGUGCCUCGCAACGCGAGCGGUGCACAUAGAGGUGGCGGAAAGCUUGUCAACUGACUCGUUCCUGUGCGCACUGCGCAGGUUUGUCGCUCGCCGAGGCGACGUACGCACCUUGCGCUCUGACCGCGGUACAAACUUCACGGGCGCAGACCGAGAGCUCCGAAACGAAGUCGACAAGCUGCAGAACGACAACAACCGGAUCCAGAAAGUUGCCCUGGACAUGAAGAUCGACUGGAGGUUUAACCCGCCGCACGCAUCGCACUUCGGCGGAGCCUGGGAAAGGCAGAUUCGCACUAUCCGCAAGAUCCUGAACGCCAUCCUGACCGAACAAUCCAUGACAGACGAGACGCUUCACACACUCCUGUGUGAGGUCGAAUGUAUAAUUAACAACCGGCCUCUGACGCCGGUCAGUGCUGACCCCAGAGACGAGACUCCGCUCACACCUAACCACAUCCUGCACCUCAAGUGUGUAACGCUUCCCAGCAGCAGCGCUACUACAGACUGCGACCUAGUCGGUCGCCGCCAAUGGAGACGAGCCGCCUACUUGGCGGAGCAAUUCUGGCGCCGUUGGCGCAGGGAGUACCUGCCGUUGUUGCAGACGAGAGCAGGACGAUCUACAAGAAGCACGACGAACAUGAAGCCAGGGGACAUCGUGCUCAUGGUGGACGACGCCGUUCCUCGCGGAACUUGGCCGCUCGGACGCGUAGAGGCGGCGCCGGCGGCCGCGGACGGACGAGUUCGCACCGUGUGGGUCCGCGUCCGCGGCACGACUUAUGCGCGACCCAUCACCAAGGUGGUGAAGAUUAUCGGCGCUACCGAGGCCGAGUGAAGAAGGAAAGUUUAAGUUUGUUUUGACGGCGAAGUCAAAAAGGGGCGGGUGUUAGUGCGCCUGUGAGCCGCGCGCCUGUGUGCGCGUGACGGAGGAGUCAUGCGUCUGCAGCGACACCUGCGCCUUACGGUCUGCGCGGUGCGGUGGAGUUUCCCAGACAGCCGCGAGAUGGAGCAGCCUGCCCCUUCCUGAGCCGUUCCCGUCCCCCCACGCUGGCUUCGCGCGGUAGCUUUAUUGGCCGUGUCUCAGACGGCGCGAACAGCUGAUCGAUACUUUUGCCCAUCUCUGUCGCGGGCGGUACUUGUUCGUUGCGUACGAUAUAUGUGUUAUCUUUUUGUGUUGUGUUUCGCGGGAUGAGUUUAUACGGGGAUAUUUUUCUGUUAUUCCGCAUGUUAUUUGUUUUACGGAUGAGUAUGGCAUGCUCAUGUGUUAAUGUUUAUGUCCGCGUGUCUGCAGUACUUGCGGGUUCCCGUGACUGGCGGGCUCUAAGUCAGCCGCCAUACUCAGUCCUUUUCAUGGUGUACUCCGUCGAGAAUGGAGGCAUGGCGCCUGAGUGGACGAAAUCGUUGAAACCGCUAGAUGCAUCGUUGUUUACCGUGCCUACCUGCGCUAGUGCCAGUUUGAGUUGCCACGCUGCUUCAUAUGCUGCACCUACGCAUCAGUAUUCGCUAGUCGACCGCAUCGUGACGAAUACAAGCAACGCUCUGGCUACGGUGUUCUGCGCGUAACAACGCUCGUCAAUCUACGGCUCAGGCGACAAUAAGUGC